rnacentral:tRNA from 1 species
AUUUAAAUAGUUUAAUAAAAAUAUUAGUUUGUGGAGCUAAAGUUAUAAGUAUAUAUUUUAAAUA